rnacentral:rRNA from 1 species
UACGUAGGGUGCAAGCGUUAAUCGGAAUUACUGGGCGUAAAGCGUGCGCAGGCGGUUUGUAAGUCUGACGUGAAAUCCCCGGGCUCAACCCGGGAACUGCGUCCGAUACUGGCAGGCUUGAAUUCGGGAGAGGGAUGCGGAAUUCCAGGUGUAGCGGUGAAAUGCGUAGAUAUCUGGAGGAACACCGGUGGCGAAGGCGGCAUCCUGGACCGAGAUUGACGCUGAGGCGCGAAAGCCAGGGGAGCAAACGGG